GCGGAUGUGGUGGAAUUGGUAGACACGCCAGCUUGAGGGGCUGGUGAGCGCAAGCUCGUGGGGGUUCAAGUCCCCCCAUCCGCACCA
rnacentral:tRNA from 15 species